ACCUGGGUAAGCAAGCAGUCAACAUACAUUACGCUGACCACGAUAUAGCAGUCGUGUUUGUGUGUGUGUCGGAGGAGGGAGGUGGGUGUGUUGUACUAAUCAUUCAGUCAGUAACUCGCCACAGACCACACAAAGCUUCACGAGGCACUUGCCCGUGAAGUCCAAUGGCAGCAUGAAGAUUGCGGACGGCUCGGUCUCGACACGUAGGUGCCCUCUUUCUCUGCGAUGUACAGAGCCAAGGCGAUUGUAAGACGCUGAACGGCGCUCACCUGGGGCUGCAGAAGUAGCGUCUUUUCCUGGCCUUCAACCUCAACCCCACGGAAGGCUUGCUGCCCUGACG
rnacentral:lncRNA from 1 species